UGGGGAAUUUUGGACAAUGGGCGAAAGCCUGAUCCAGCAAUGCCGCGUGUGUGAAGAAGGCCUUCGGGUUGUAAAGCACUUUUGUCCGGAAAGAAAAUCCUUGGCUCUAAUACAGUCGGGGGAUGACGGUACCGGAAGAAUAAGCACCGGCUAACUACGUGCCAGCAGCCGCGGUAAUACGUAGGGUGCAAGCGUUAAUCGGAAUUACUGGGCGUAAAGCGUGCGCAGGCGGUUUGCUAAGACCGAUGUGAAAUCCCCGGGCUCAACCUGGGAACUGCAUUGGUGACUGGCAGGCUAGAGUAUGGCAGAGGGGGGUAGAAUUCCACGUGUGAGCAAGUGAAAAUGCGUAGAGAUGUGGAGGAAUACCGAUGGCGAAGGCGAG
rnacentral:rRNA from 1 species